rnacentral:rRNA from 1 species
GUGAACGCUGGCGGUAGGCCUAACACAUGCAAGUCGAACGGCAGCACAGUAAGAGCUUGCUCUUACGGGUGGCGAGUGGCGGACGGGUGAGGAAUACAUCGGAAUCUACUUUUUCGUGGGGGAUAACGUAGGGAAACUUACGCUAAUACCGCAUACGACCUACGGGUGAAAGCAGGGGUUCUUCGGACCUUGCGCGAUUGAAUGAGCCGAUGUCGGAUUAGCUAGUUGGCGGGGUAAAGGCCCACCAAGGCGACGAUCCGUAGCUGGUCUGAGAGGAUGAUCAGCCACACUGGAACUGAGACACGGUCCAGACUCCUACGGGAGGCAGCAGUGGGGAAUAUUGGACAAUGGGCGCAAGCCUGAUCCAGCCAUACCGCGUGGGUGAAGAAGGCCUUCGGGUUGUAAAGCCCUUUUGUUGGGAAAGAAAAGCAGCAGGUUAAUACCCCGCUGUUCUGACGGUACCCAAAGAAUAAGCACCGGCUAACUUCGUG